CAACCCCCGCGCCUCUGUAGAUCCGCCACCGAUUCAAAGAAUGCACAUGAUCCAUCAUGACUGCUCCUGUGUCUGACAUAUAAUUUUACACAUAACCUACCAAUGUUACGGAAGAUAAUGUGACAACUGAUCUUUCAUACACAGGUAAAUGUGCCUCACGUGAAUUGCUAUAGUUACACAGUCCAGGAGUUUCCCGGUUUCGGUUUGACGUGUGAGUUUUGGAAAUCUAAUAUAUUCCCCACAGUUCACCGUAGAAGAGUACCAGGUAUCGACUUUUCACAAGCUGCCAGACCCAUUUAUUCUGUGAUAUAUGCGUAAUUGGAGGAGGCAUUUCAUACAUAAUAUCCAUAGGUGUGCACACCUCUCUUCCUAACAUAAAAGAGUUUAGCGAAAAACCAGUAGUUCCUGUAUGCCAUCAUGACAUAAAGUACAGUGUAAUUGGUUUUUCCACCUUUGCCAUUGUCAAAAUUCCUUUCGACAAGUCCAGUCUACAAACGUUCGUCCUCAUCAAAUAUAAUUCAAGAAUGCCAUCAACAGUUAGGUCAGCAAUAACAACUUUCUGUGAAAAUAGUACCCCCUUGUAGAGUUGUAUCCCAUGUACCUUCAAUGUUGACCAUCUGCAAUAAA